CGAUGGCGACCGGCGCACGGGUGAGUAACGCGUAUGCAACCUGCCCGAUACCGGGGUAUAGCCCAUGGAAACGUGGAUUAACACCCCAUAGUACUUUUAUCCUGCCUGGGAUGUGAGUUAAAUGUUCAAGGUAUCGGAUGGGCAUGCGUCCUAUUAGUUAGUUGGCGGGGUAACAGCCCACCAAGACGAUGAUAGGUAGGGGUUCUGAGAGGAAGGUCCCCCACAUUGGAACUGAGACACGGUCCAA
rnacentral:rRNA from 1 species